rnacentral:rRNA from 1 species
GACGAACCGUGCGAACGUUGUUCGGAAUCACUGGGCUUAAAGGGCGCGUAGGCGGCUCGCGAGGUCGGGGGUGAAAUCCCACAGCUUAACUGUGGAAGCGCCUCCGAUACCGGCGGGCUCGAGGAAGGUAGGGGUGCGCGGAACUUCUGGUGGAGCGGUGAAAUGCGUUGAUAUCAGAAGGAACGCCGGCGGCGAAAGCGGCGCACUGGCUCUUUUCUGACGCUGAGGCGCGAAAGCUAGGGGAGCAAACGGG